AAGUCGUAACAAGGUUUCCGUAGGUGAACCUGCGGAAGGAUCAUUACCCAUUCCGGUCUUCGAGACCGCGUCUUCAACUCGCCGCAGGACCCCCCACGAAAGUGGCCGGAAGUGCGGACGAGGCGAAGUAAACCCUUUGACUAUGAGCACCUUUUGUUCCCUCGGCGGGCUCGCGCCCGUCGCUGGGCCCAUCCAAACCCCUUUGCAGUAGCCGUACACCUCUGAUCGUGGGCACUUGAAUCUUUACAACUUUCAACAACGGAUCUCUUGGUUCUG
rnacentral:misc_RNA from 1 species